CACAAAGAAGACUUUGUUCUGAAUUCUGAGUAUCUUAUCACGCUGCUCGUCGUGGUGCCAAAGUCAAGCUACCUACAGUGGCAGAAGACCUAUGAAUCACUCUCAGAUAUGGUAGUACCUCGCUCCACCAAAAUGAUUGCUGAGGAUGCAGAGGGAGGACUCUUCACUGUGACCCUGUUUAGAAAAGUGAUGGAUGACUUUAAGGCUAAAGCCAGGGAGAACAGGUAAGAGGCCCUGACUGCUGGGCAGGACAAGCUAGCAAGAGAUGAGGAUCACGUGAGGCUUGUUGUGUGUGCAGCUUGCUGAAUCCAUCACUUGUUGACUGCUUGGGUUGCUCUUGGUACUAAGGCCACUGAAAGGGCAGGUUGGGAAGGAGCUGUGGUAGCAAAAGCAGUGAUCCUGUUCUUGAAGCUCCAAGUUACAGAUCCUGGAAUUGCCCUUUUGGCUCUCAUUCUGCUGACAGCAGAAAGCUGUCUUUCUAGGGGUAAUUUCAACUCCCACCCCGCACAUACUUAAACUUGUUAAAUGGCUAGCAACUUCCCAUACCUGC